rnacentral:lncRNA from 1 species
UCCUUGGCCUCAAAGGAUCCUCCUGUCUGGGUCUCUCAAACUGCUGGGAAUACAAGCAUGAGCCACCACAGCUGACGAACAGCUAUUUUUGAAUAAAGUAAAGGAAGAGAGGGAGGGAGAGAAGAAGGAAGAAGAAAAAAAAGAAAAGAAGUGAAGGAGGGUUAACUACAGCCAAAGAAAAAGAAGCAGCCCAACAGAGAGCUCAGGAAAAUUACACUUCAUACAUCCAACUGCUAUGGAAGAGGAUGGAGGUGAGAAGCGGAGGGAGAAAGAAGGAUGUGAUAUUCCAUCCCCAUUAAGAAAAUUUUUCAAGCCCCCAAUCUGAACCUACUGAAUCAGAAUUUGAGGAGAUGAGACCUGUAUACCUAGAUUUUCAAAAGACUCUCAACUCUAUCCACUCUCAUCACUUCUAUUUAACAUUAUACUGGAGGUCCUGGCCAGGGAAGUAAGGACACAAUUGGAGAAACUGGUUAUUUUGCCAAGGCUUUGAUGGGAAUGGCGUGGUUCCCUUUAAGGAAGCAAAUUUGACUUAUAGAGCCAAUAAAAGCCCCUUGGGAAAACUGGCCUCAUACCUUGUCUACACAGUACUUGUACAGGGCUCCUGACCUAUGCUAUGCGGUUCAGCGGGAUGACCCCGCUACGGAGCAUUAUUGUCUCAUUCCAGUCGAAUGGACCAAUCACAUAGCAAUGUGUGACCUUGAGACUGGAGAAGGAAUUGAGCCUAACUUCAUCCCCCACCCCCUUCCAACCUCCAUUCUACCUCUACUUCCAGCAUUUUCUUACUUGCAGACCCAGAAGAGGUUGGAGGUCCUGGCCAGUCUCUCACUCUUUUCCUUCUUCACUCACAUUUUUAUGUGUCUUUAAGUGGCUGGGAACAGCCAUGUUGACUCCAUACACCCAGAAGUUUGAGGAGAGUUUGCUAUUACAUCACUUCUGCUAAUUUCAGCUCUGCUGUUGAGCACACAGACCUCAGCAAAUCAACCAGACCAUUUCCAACCCCUCUUGACUUUAAGAAGACUGGGUCAUGCUCUGAGAAAUGAAAGCAGAGAAGGAGAUGGCUUGCAAGCCCCCUGAGGUUACCACGAUAAGUUGGCUUGAGAGGGAGGUAAAAGCAAUUCAGAGGACCACUUGGGAAAGCCCAGACAGGAUAUUAUCAGUGGCGUGUGUAAAGUUCCCAUCACCAUCUAAAGUGAAAGAUGCCAGAAUUAUAAAAACUGACUGCAUUAUCUUCUCAGCUCUGCUUUGUGACUUCUAAGAAUUCAACUGCUUUUCUAUUUUAAAAUAGGGACAUUGUCCUCCUUCUCAAUGCAUCACCUGUAUCAUUUGGGACAUGCCCAUCAUCAGGUUGCUUUGACUGAACACCUUAAACAUUUCAUGGAAAACAGAAAAUAUGUGAAAAAAAAAAUCUCCUCCUAGUCACGAGAUCCCAUAUAACACUCCAGCUUCUUCUUUAAUGUGGUGGAAAAACAUUCUAAAUACCCCAACAGAAGGGCAAGAAAACUGGAACCUAACUGACCAUCUUGAAACAUGUAAUAAAAACGGACACAUCAACCACACUUCCCAAGAGGCUUGCUCCCUGAAUGUACACUAGUAAUUAUCUGAGGCGGUAACUGAAUUCAGCUAAAAUAGAGAAGGCAGCUAUAGAGAAGCUCAGCGCUUCUCUCAAGAGCCCCUAAUCCUGCUGGAUUCCAGUCCACUGGGUCAUGAUGCCCUAAGAUUUCAAGAGCUGUGGCUGCAAACUGGAAAUUCUCCAAGGGGAAGAGCAUUCUUGAUUCUUUUUGGACAUAAGUGUUGGACACAGGUGGUAGGAAAUCAUUUCUAACAUAGCUUUCUGAGGGGCACUUACACCAAAAGUUGGGCAUUUUUUUAACCACAUCCAAGAAGUGUGGAUUUAUUUAUUCUAUUAUAUACCUGCCUCAAUUCCAGCAGCAGUUUGGUAGAGGUUAUCAACUUAGAAAUACCGGUUAUUAAACUUUCAGAGCAAGGCUUUAACAGCUACAGCCUACAUGGCUGUUCAUAUAAAACCGACGUGCAAAUAAGAGGAAUUUCUUUUUCU